rnacentral:rRNA from 1 species
UACGGAGGGGGCUAGCGUUGUUCGGAAUUACUGGGCGUAAAGCGCGCGUAGGCGGCUUAGCAAGUUAGAGGUGAAAGCCCGAAGCUCAACUUCGGAAUUGCCUUUAAAACUGCAAAGCUAGAAUCAUGGAGAGGUGAGUGGAAUUCCGAGUGUAGAGGUGAAAUUCGUAGAUAUUCGGAAGAACACCAGUGGCGAAGGCGACUCACUGGACAUGUAUUGACGCUGAGGUGCGAAAGCGUGGGGAGCGAACAGG